CCCACGGAGAAACACACACCUUUGUCCUCGGUUGGGUCGAAGUUUGUCAUCAAAUUCUACUAUGAAACCCUAAUUUAUAUAUAAACCAAGAAUAAUCACAUCCAAUUGAUUAGUUUUCUUCCAGCCAUGGACGCUCAGAGAGCUUUGUUGGAUGAACUAAUGGGCUCAGCUCGGAAUUUAACUGAAGACGAGAGGAGAGGGUACAAGGAAGUCAAAUGGGACGACAAGGAAGUUUGUGCAUACUAUAUGGUUCGAUUUUGCCCACACGAUCUCUUCGUCAAUACCAAAAGUGAUUUGGGACCCUGCCUUAAAAUUCAUGAAGCAAAGUUGAAGGAAAGUUUUGAGAACUCUCCGAGACACGAUUCUUAUGCUCCCAAGUUUGAAGCAGAACUAGCCCAUUACUGUGAGAAGUUGGUGAUGGACUUGGAUAAGAAAGUUAGGCGUGGUCGGGAACGCCUUGCUCAGGAGGUUGAAGUUCCCCCACCUCCUCCAAUAUCAGCAGAAAAAUCUGAGCAAUUAUCUGUCUUGGAGGAGAAGAUUAAAAACUUGCUAGAACAAGUGGAGUCUCUUGGUGAAGCUGGGAAAGUUGAUGAAGCUGAAGCUCUCAUGAGAAAGGUGGAAAUGUUAAACAGUGAAAAGACGGCCCUGAGUCAGCAAACACAGCAGAACAGUGCACUAAUGAUUGCACAAGAGAAAAAGAUGGCUUUGUGCGAGACAUGUGGUUCGUUUCUUGUCGCAAAUGAUGCUGCAGAGAGGACUCAGUCUCACGUCACUGGUAAGCAGCAUGUUGGCUAUGGGAUGGUUCGAGAUUUCUUAUCCGAGUACAAGGCUGCUAAAGAGAAGGCAAGGGAAGAGGAAAGGUUAGCCAGGGAGAAAGAAGCAGAAGAAAGGAAAAAGCUGAGGGAGAAAGAAAAUGACAGCAGACGACGAAGAAGUGAAUCAUCUGACAGGGACAAGCACAAAGAUCGAGAUUAUGAGAGGGAACGGGAUCGCUACCGAGGAAGAGAUCGUGGCCCUGACAGGAAUGGCAGAGGAAGCCGUGAUUUCGAAAGGGGUCCAGAUUGGAAACAUGGGAUUUCCAGAAAUGGGAGAAACAGAAGCAGGGAGAGACGCGAUAGAAGCAGGUCACACUCUCCUAUUAGACAUGGUUCCAGGAGGUCCAGGAGUCCAGUUCGCAAGUAUUAGAGGAGUAUAAAUCGUAGAUGUCUGAACUUUGAAAUUUGAAGAGGUAGACUUUUUUAUAACUCACCAAUUUCAUGAAUGUAUGCUUUCGGGUCCUAAGUGCCAUUGCCAUCAUGUGUGAAACUGUUUUUUGUUCUCACAGCUCUUUUGAGACUAUACCAUCUCCCUAUCAUCAAUAUAAUUAGAGAAGAAAGGGUUGAGUUAAAAAACAGAUUCAUUAGUUAUGCAUGGAUAAUGCUGCUAGAGGGAGAUCCUUGCAUGGUUAUUCCUUAAGUGAGGUAACAAAUUUUAUUAAAUGUGGAUUGCAGAAUGACUUGCUGGCCAUCGUUGGUUUAGUUCCUUUAUCUUUUGGUCAUUUAGAUGAUAAAACAGAAUCUUUUUUCAUUUGGUUAUUCAGAUGGCUCAGAGCAAUUUAGUGUUAAUUGUUAUUGCAUAUUUGGCGUGUCAGUGAGCUCAUGAAUAUGAAAGGCUCCAUGUAAUUUGUCUAUCAUCCGAGCUCAGAUAGGUAACCUCUAUUCUGACUUACUUACCAUCCCUCUACCUUCUUGUGUGUGGAGCUAAAAUUCAUGCAGGCAGCAUUGUGGACAUAAGGCAGCUAAUGAUUCUAAUGUGCAAUCAACAACUGAUCAUUGAAUAGGUAAUAGUUGCAAACAUUAAACACGCGCUUAUUUGUCCACUUGGGUUAGUACCUGCAGGCUUCAUGUAUAGUAUCACUUUCUCAGACAUUUCCUCUUUAACGGAUACAUUAUACGUUCCCUCGUCCUGCAUUUUAUUUUACUGCAAGGAGAUGGGUAUCUUCAGCUCAGACUAAGCUCUAGAAAUGUCUGCCUGUGAAAUUAUAGAAACUGUGUCUAGACUAGAUUGGCCAAGGCCCCUGUGCUUAGCACAGACCCAAUGUAGUGAUUAUUACUGUGGCCAGCUACUGAAGAAUAUUUGGCGAACUCUCUUUUGGGAAGCAAAAGUUAAAAAAUUCUACUUCCACUCUAGUGAAGAACAGAUGAUAUGUAUAAUGGCUUUUCAGCAUCACCUUGGGAGUCCUUCAGCAAGGAUUUACUGAGAUCAAGCAUGAAGCUGAGCAUCAUGUUCCUCCAUUCCGAAGAGAACAUGUAUUUGCAAAAAAAAUUGGUGUUGAGGAGUUUUUGGUUAGAAAGCAUUUUGUGGAAGGAUUUCAGAGAACGCAAAGUUGACUUAAAUCUUCCACUGCGAUACCCAAGGUUUAUUUUAUCAUUAUUUUUGUUCUUUUUUCAUGACUGUCAGAAAAGUUAAUUACCAACAACUUUUUUUAUCACUAACAUAUGGUCAUUACGGCUAAUAAUAGAAUUAAUCAAGUUCCAAGGAA